GUAUUCACUUCAGCAGCACAUAUAUUAAGUUGGAAAAGAGAGAAUAUUAGCAUAGCCCCUGUACAAGUAUGACAUGCAAAUUUAUGAAGCAUUCCAUAACAAA
rnacentral:snRNA from 1 species